GGCGGGGCGAGGCGGCGGCGGCGCGCGCGGCGCGGGAGGGGCCAUGAAGCGGCACCUGCGGGGUCUCAGCUGCCCCCGCCCAGCCGGAGCCGCCCCGCAGCCCCCCCCCCGCCGCCGCCGCCGCCCUGGCCAGCGACUCGGAGGGCGACGAGGGGC